CCUGUUUUGUAGAUCAUCACAUGCGGCUGAGAGUUGCCGUUCGCAUUGCAGCAGGUAGCGUAACAUCCUGUGCUGUUUAGCCUCCGUGUCUUCCACGGAGCUAACGCGGUCUUCUAGCUCGCCGAUUCUGUGCUGAUGGUCCACUCACUCAUCAGCUGAUCAUCGUUGCUGUCAUUACAAGCAGCUGAGAUGUCAGGGCUUACUUGAGGCGAGCUUCUUUUUUUGUUGUCAUUUUCCUUUGGAUUUGCUUGUUUAUUUCCCUGUCUGGUCUUCGAGGCUGCACUCAUAUCUGGGUCUUGUAUUUUCUUAGUUCGAAGGUCUUUUAAAAUUGUCACUUUUCUAACUUCUCUGACGGAGCCUAGCGUCUAAGCGGCAUCACUCAUCAUGACGUCACCGGAAGUCCAAACGGAAAUUUUAUU